UUCUUAGCUUAGUUGGUAGAGCACCCGCUUAGUAAGCGGGAGGUCGUCGGUUCAACUCCGGCAGAAGGCU
rnacentral:tRNA from 1 species